AUUGAACGCUGGCGGCAGGCCUAACACAUGCAAGUCGAACGGCACGUCGGACGAGUGAGUACUGACUAGGAAUCUGCCUGUUGGUAGGGGAUAAAGUACGGGAGCGGGCGCUAAUACCACAUACUAGAAGGUCAGCCUCGGUUGGAUUAGCUAGUUGGUGGGGUAAAGGCCUACCAAGGCGACGAGCCGUAACUGGGCUGAGAGGAUGAUCAGUAACACUGGAACUGAGACACGGUCCAGACUCCUACGGGAGGCAGCAGUGGGGAAUAUUGGGCAAUGGGCGAAAGUCUGACCCAGCCACGCCGCGUGAGUGAAGAAGGUUUUCGGAUUGUAAAGCUCUGUUAGUUGGGAGGCGGUACCAACAGAGUAAGCAACGGCUAACUACGUGCCAGCAGCCGCGGUAAUUC
rnacentral:rRNA from 1 species